rnacentral:snoRNA from 1 species
GUUGAAGUCCAUCCCCAGAAACGCGUCACAGAGUAACGUGGUUUUGCUUUCCUCACAAGACUACUACUACUGGUUAGGUCUUUGUGAAGGAACUGCAAGACAAGU